rnacentral:rRNA from 1 species
GAUGAACGCUGGCGGCGUGCCUAACACAUGCAAGUCGAACGGAAGGACGCUAAGUUUGUGUCUUUGAUGUUUGCGGCGGGCGGGAGUGUAACGUGUGUAUCACCCACUUGUAUUUCUGGGAUAAUCACGGAAAUGCGGCUAUUAUACCAGAGGAUAUUCUGCACCGCAGUGGGCAAAGGAGAGUGUCGGCGUUUGUGGCUGGACUAGCGGCUUACCGGCUGGAUGAGGUAGUUGGGAAGGUAACAGCCUAUCAAGGCUACGAGGCGUAGCCGAGCUGAGAGGCUGAUCGGCCACACUGGAACUGAGACACGGUCCAGACUACUACGGGAGGCAGCAGUCGGGAAUGUUCGGCAAUGGGCGAAAGCCUGACGCAGCGAGGCCGAGUGAGUGAUGAAGGCCUUCGGGUCGUAAAGCCGUGUUGUUGGGGAAGAACAGCUGUGGACUUAGACGAAGCGUUCUUGACGGUAACUAAUAAAAAAGCACCGGCUAACUACGUG